AGAACACUUGAUCACCUUUUUUAAAUUCUAAAUCCCUCAUCCGGGUGUCCGCAUAACUCUUCUACUCGUUAUAAGCUGUCUAAAUGUUCUUUCUGAUCUUAACUAUAUUGGUUGUAGUCUCCUCCACAAGAUAUGAGCCAAAUAAUUUUCUAUCACCCACUUCUUCCCAACAUAUCGACGACCUGUUGGGGCAGCCAUACAAUGCCUCGUAUGGGGCCAU
rnacentral:lncRNA from 1 species